GAUGAACGCUGGCGGCGUGCCUAAUACAUGCGAGUCGAACGGACAGACACCGACCUUUCUCCUCGGACGUUAGCGUCGCACACGUGAGUAACACAUGGAUAUAAUCCCUCUACUACUUCGAUAACAUCGGAUGAAAGUAGCUAUUACCCGGUAAUAUCUUUACCCGCAUGGUUCAAUAGUGGAAGACGGUUUUCCUUUCGCUUAUAGUUGGAUACGCGCCGCAUUAGCUAGUUGGUAAGGUAACGGCUUACCAAGGCAACGAUGCGUAGCCGACCUGAGAGGGUGAUCGGCCACACUGGAACUGAGACACGGUCCAGACUCCUACGGGAGGCAGCAGUAGGGAAUCUUCCGCAAUGGGCGAAAGCUUGACGGAGCAACGCCGCGUGAGUGAUGAAGGUCUUCGGAUCGGAAAACUCUGUUAUUAGGGAAGAACAAAUGUGUAAGUAACUAUGCACGUCUUGACGGUACCUAAUCAGAAAGCCACGGCUAACUACGUG
rnacentral:rRNA from 1 species